rnacentral:lncRNA from 1 species
GGGGAUCCAUAUGCACUACUGGUCUCCUGGGACUGGCCCCAAGGUGUCUUGGGGAGAAGGUCCUUUUCCCUGCACAGGGACAUUGAUUUCAGCCCUCCUCAUCCACAGGUGGGACAGAGGGAGCCUGUGUUGUGUUGGCCAACAUGGCUGUGCUGCUUUUCUCCCCAGCCUAGGACCUCUGACACACCCUCUCCACUGUGUGGAACCUGGGCCACCAGCAUCCCAGGACCCUUCCAUGUGUCUCUUGGUUUAACUGAACGUCUGUGGCUGUCCUGUCCCGAGUGGGCAGCAUCCUCUGAACCUGGGAAAUGUGCCUGUUUGCAGUUUCCCCAGGCUGCAAUCUUCCUGUGCUUUUUCUGAAUGAGCAGAAGGAAAAGAAAUGAAGGAGAAUGGUUUGGAACUCACUGGGCAGGAAUAGGAAAAGUGCAGAGUCUCAGAAAGUUCCAGAGCACAGCACCCCUUGGAAGAAAGUGAUGGGCAGAUCACUCCUCUGUCUUCUCCUUGCUCUAAGGAUGUCCUCAAGGUGUUUCCUGGGGAAUCUGAUGAUGGCACUGAGGUAUCUCAGGUGCAGUUUAGAUCUGGUUAUCUCAACUGAUUUCCAUAGUUUAUACCUGAUUUACUUAUAAAGAUAUUUUCUAGUCAGUAGAUUUUGCUUUUCCAUGACUAUUCUUCAGUGCCCUAUUUACUAUUGUAAUGCUCAUAUUGGUUCAUUGGAGUUCUGCAAAACAGAUGGUUCCCUGGGCACAAUCUGCAGGCCUGGGAUACACUGUGCUUCAUCUUAAUCCCUGGUGCCCCCUUAUUCUCUUUCUUCCAUCCCCACUCCACUCCCUCUUCUUUCCUGUCCUCCUUCUGUUUAUUCAUCUGCUCCUUUGUCAUUGGUGGGCUCUAGACCUCUGUGAAGCUGGGCUCACUGCUGUGCUAAGGUGUCAGUGCCCAAGCACAUGGUGUCAUGUGGUGCAUUCCUUCCACAUUUCCUCCCUGUCCCAGUCCCGUGACCCCCCCAUCUCUGUCUCCUUUGCCAUUGGUUGUCCUUCUCUCCUAUGACACCUUACCCCCCCUUCCCCUUCCUUUGCUCUAGCUUUUGCACAGGAGGGUGACACGGGACCCUAACCUUCCAGAGUCUGGCUCUUUCACUUGUCAUGAUGUUCUCCACUUCCAUCCAUUUACCAGGAAAUGCCACCAUUUUCUUCUUCUUUAAGGCCCUGAGUUCAGUCUGGAUCAUGUGGGUGUGGGCAGAUCAGGAGGAGCUCUGUGCAGAAGAAGGCAUAACCUGACCACACUGCAGAGAGAGAGCAGAGAGCUGAGGGUCCCCUCAGCCAUGAGCCAUGUGGGACAAUUACUUAUUUGUUUCAUUUUCUGAUCCUUUUGAUGAGAUAUGGCAGUGUGAUGUCUCUCCUAGUUUUCUGUGGCUGAGCAACAAAUUCUCCCCUAUUGAGCAGUGUGUUCCUUCCCAGGCAUGUCCCUCAGGAGUCCAGGCUGGGUCCUCAGCUCAGCCUGAGAAGACUGAAAUGGAGCAGUCGGUGGGCAGCUCUCCUUGCUGAAGUUCAGAGUCUUCUUCCAGGUCCAGUGGCUGAGGUAGAGUCAUCUUUCCAGAGUUGUAGGGUGAGGUCCCAAUUUCGCUGAGGCCAUUAGCACAGAGCUCCUGGAUACUGCUCUGAUUGCCACCUCCAGGAGCAGCAUUAGAGCAUCUCCUCCCAUCCACUCUUCAUGGCCUGAGAUUCUUCUUCUUCUGCCUCCAUGUGCAGAUGAUGGGCUUCAAUGUUGAAGAAAGAUCUAGUGUGUACUCUCUCCCACUCUUAAAUUCAUCUUAUUUGAUUAUAUCUCCAAGAUACUUCAUUAGAAAUUUAAUUGAAAUUCCUGUUUGAGUACUUGGGAAAUGGGAUGGUACAAGGCCUGGGGUUUGGGGCCAACAACUUUGAAUCCUGUCCACAUACUACCAUUUUUUUUCAAUUACCAUAAUGACUGGAUCCCUGUUGGAUAUUCAGAAGUAGGUGCUGAUUGGAGGAAUCAGUUUUAAUAAGAUCAGGUGAUCCAGGUAAGCAGAGGAUAAAGAGGUAACCUGCAGUUGGCACAGGAAUGACAAUGACUUCCCCCAUCUUCCCUGUGUGUCAGCUGCAUCAGGGACUAAGUCCUCAGGAACACAUGGCCUUCUUCUCUCCUCCACCCAGAGGCACUCACUGCCCUCAGCAGAGGCCUCAGGCUCCCUGGCAGAGCUCCAUGGCCUCCCAGCCUCAGGCCCUGACUGCCUCUGCACACUGACUCUGUGUCUUCCUUCCACAGGACCAGCACAUCCCUAUCCCAGCCUUGACCAAGGCUGGUGCACAGCCUGGGAAUAUGGUGGAAUGACAUGCCUGGCCUCCCAGACUGGCCUCUAAGGCACAGGACUCUGAAAGUUCAGCCAUGGAGUCCCACCUUAGACCUGCAGUCUCACAACACCCUGGUGCUCUUUCAGAGCCCAGGGGAUUCAUCCUGAUGCCACAUGCUGAUGUCUUCAGGGAAACCAGAUAUCUAGCCUUCCUGGAGGCUGGCUGAUGGACCCCUCUGGCCAUCAAGUUUCUUCCCAGAUGGAAGAGACAUGGCAUGGCCAAUGUCUCUUCUGUGGUUUAUUUUGAAGCUGUCAGGGUCUAUUUUUCCCUCUCCUCCUCACUAACCUUAGGGUAGCAGGAUGGCCUCCUUCCCAUUCCAGGCUGGGUUAUCUGACCUUGGGCACACACACCAGAGCCAUGAAGUAACUUAGACUUUGGCAUGUUCCAGAGACCUAACAUAUGGGUAUUUAUCAAGGCUACAAGUGAAUUUUAACCUCUGACAGGUCACAGCUGGAGUGUGGCCUUUGAAGGCCCUCUUUAAAAGCUCUCUGUUCCCCUGAGGGUGAGAAUCCAGCCUCUGGGACAGGAGUACCUGUGUUUCUCUUUUGCUAGCAAAGCAAUAAAACUUC